CAAUAGCGCAUAUUUAAGUUGUUGCAGUUAAAAAGCUCGUAGUUGGAUUUCGGGUUGGCUUCAGCGGUCUCGCUUUGCGUUUGUACUGCUGCAGCCUACCUUCUUGUCGGGGACGGGCCUUCGGGCUUAAUUGCUUGGGGCCCGGAGUCGACGAUGUUACUUUGAGUAAAUUAGAGUGUUCAAAGCAAGCCUACGCUCUGAAUAUAAUAGCAUGGGAUAACACGACAGGACUCUGGCCUAUCGUGUUGGUCUGUAGGACCAGAGUAAUGAUUAAGAGGGACAGUCGGGGGCAUUCGUAUUCCGUUGUCAGAGGUGAAAUUCUUGGAUUUACGGAAGACGAACAUCUGCGAAAGCAUUUGCCAAGGAUGUUUUCAUUGA
rnacentral:rRNA from 1 species